GCAGCCGAGGAAACGAAACUAAGUUGGAGAGAGGCGGUGCCCUAGGCUUUCAGGAAGUCACGUGGGGCGCAAGGGCAGGCCCCGCGGGGGUCCCCUCUGGAGAGCCAGAGGUGGCAGCUGUGGGAGUGGCCGUCUAGCUGACUCCGCAGCGGUCCCGGAGGUUUGAAGUCCUGCCUCGCGCGGCGUGAGGGCGGGGCGCUGGGUUUCGCUUAGCCCUAGGGGCUUGGGGACCUCCCGACGACCACCAUGUCCUUUCCUGUGGCCACUCUGGAUGAACCGACGAUCUGAGCCCUGAUGGAGCCAUAAUCACACACGGAGACUUCCACUGAAUGAGAUCCCCAUUUUUGCUCUCUUGGGAUUUAGAGAUACCCACGUCUAACAAAUAUUCUGUCUUUUACACACACACACACACACACACACACACGAAUCUAAAUAUGUUUUCUUACAAUUGUUAAGAAUUAUUUCCUUAAUGUUUUAGCUCCCCCCCCCUCCCCUGCCUGGGUGUAGGAAUUGUGGACAAACAGGAAGCUACUAUGUUCAAGAGGGGAUGGGGCCAAGAGAAAGUGGGAAGAGUUAGCUGGUGUUUUGUUUGUUUUUGUGGCAGUGCUGGGGAUUGAACCCAGGGCCUUGUGCAUGCGGGAGUCAAGCACUCUACCAACUGAGCUAUUAUCUCCAGCCCCUAGCUGGUGUUUUAAAUGGAUGAAAGGAUUAACAGCAAAAAACAAGGAAAAGGUAAAUGUCUUAGACUAAGCCCAGAAUGUCAGGUCGGUGGCGGUGACUUAGAACAAAGCAGACCCCGUGGAAAAGAAACAUCUAUCAGCCAACAGAAAUGCCUGUCAAUCAGUGGGAUCUCCUGACUAAUGCCUGUCAAUCAUCAGGACCCCCUGGCCAAUCCUGGAGUUCAGCCAAGCUCCCCUGACCUACUUGGGACAAGGGACUCCAAAAACACCUUUUCCUGUCCCAAGACCUUCCCUUCCUGCUGUAAGCCCCAUAAAAGUCCAGUCUGGUCCAACUCCCAAGCGAUUUCUCUUCAGACCCUUCUCCAGUUCACUCUGAUAGAGUUCCAUCCCAAGUGAUAUCUCAAUAAAGCCUCAUUCCGAGGCCUUUUAAAAUCUG